rnacentral:rRNA from 1 species
UACAGAGGGUGCAAGCGUUGUUCGGAAUUAUUGGGCGUAAAGCGCGUGUAGGCGGCUUUGCAAGUCGGGUGUGAAAGCCCUCAGCUCAACUGAGGAAGUGCACCCGAAACUGCAGAGCUUGAGUACCGGAGAGGAUGGCGGAAUUCCCCAAGUAGAGGUGAAAUUCGUAGAUAUGGGGAGGAACACCGGUGGCGAAGGCGGCCAUCUGGACGGAUACUGACGCUGAGACGCGAAAGCGUGGGUAGCAAACAGG